GAUGAACGCUAGCUACAGGCUUAACACAUGCAAGUCGAGGGGAAACGGCAUUAAGUGCUUGCACUUUUUGGACGUCGACCGGCGCACGGGUGAGUAACGCGUAUCCAACCUUCCCAUGACUAAGGGAUAACCUGCCGAAAGGCAGACUAAUACCUUAAGGUCUUCACUGACGGCAUCAGAUGUGAAGUAAAGAUUUAUCGGUUAUGGAUGUGGAUGCGUCUGAUUAGCUUGUUGGCGGGGUAACGGCCCACCAAGGCAACGAUCAGUAGGGGUUCUGAGAGGAAGGUCCCCCACAUUGGAACUGAGACACGGUCCAAACUCCUACGGGAGGCAGCAGUGAGGAAGAUUGGUCAAUGGGCGAGAGCCUGAACCAGCCAAGUAGCGUGCAGGAUGACGGCCCUAUGGGUUGUAAACUGCUUUUGUAUGGGGAUAAAGUCAAUCACGUGUGAUUGUUUGCAGGUACCAUACGAAUAAGGACCGGCUAAUUCCGUG
rnacentral:rRNA from 1 species